AUUGAACGCUGGCGGCAUGCCUUACACAUGCAAGUCGAACGGCAGCACGGGAGCAAUCCUGGUGGCGAGUGGCGAACGGGUGAGUAAUAUAUCGGAACGUGCCCAGUCGUGGGGAUAACGUAGCGAAAGCUACGCUAAUACCGCAUACGAUCUAUGGAUGAAAGCGGGGGGAUCGCAAGACCUCGCGCGAUUGGAGCGGCCGAUAUCAGAUUAGGUAGUUGGUGAGGUAAAGGCUCACCAAGCCGACGAUCUGUAGCCUGGUCUGAGAGGACGACCAGCCACACUGGGACUGAGACACGGCCCAGACUCCUACGGGAGGCAGCAGUGGGGAAUUUUGGACAAUGGGCGCAAGCCUGAUCCAGCAAUGCCGCGUGCAGGAUG
rnacentral:rRNA from 1 species